rnacentral:rRNA from 1 species
GACAGAGGUGCCAAGCGUUAGGCGGAAUCACUGGGCUUAAAGCGUGUAUAGGCGGAUGUCUAAGUACCUUGUGAAAUCCCACGGCUCAACCGUGGAACUGCUUGGUAUACUGGAUGUCUUGAGCCACCUAGGGGCUACCGGAACAAAUGGUGGAGCGGUGAAAUGCGUAGAUAUCAUUUGGAACGCCAAUGGUGAAAACAGGUAGCUGGGGAUGUGCUGACGCUGAGACACGAAAGCCAGGGGAGCGAACGGG